rnacentral:rRNA from 1 species
GACGAACGCUGGCGGCGUGCCUAAUACAUGCAAGUAGAACGCAGUUGCGAACGGGUGAGUAACGCGUAGGUAACUGCCUCAUAGCGGGGGAUAACUAUUGGAAACGAUAGCUAAUACCGCAUACUGUGAGAUGGACCUGCGUGGUAUUAGCUAGUUGGGGAGGUAAAUGCCCACCAAGGCGACGAUACCUAGCCGACCUGGGAGGGUGAUCGGCCAAAAUGGGACCUGGAACAGGCCCAGACCCCGUCGGGAGGCAGCAGGAGGGAAUCUUCGGCAAAGGACGGAAGUCUGGACGAGCAAAGCCCCCUGAGUGAAGAAGGUUUUCGGAUCGUAAAGCUCUGUUGUGAGGGAAGCGGUAACGAACCAGAAAGGAACGGCUAACUACGUGCCAGCAGCCGCGGUAAUAC